rnacentral:rRNA from 1 species
UACGGAGGAGGCAAGCGUUAUCCGGAAUUAUUGGGCGUAAAGCGUCCGCAGGUGGCACCUCAAGUCUGCUGUCAAAGACCGGGGCUUAACCCCAGAAAGGCAGUGGAAACUGAAGUGCUAGAGUGCAGUAGGGGUAGAGGGAAUUCCCGGUGUAGCAGUGAAAUGCGUAGAGAUCGGGAAGAACAUCGGUGGCGAAAGCGCUCUGCUGGACUGCGAAUUGACACUCAGGGACGAAGCUAGGGAGCGAAUGGG